CUCUCACUCUGACUCUGUCUUCUGGCAUGCACUGAGGAAAGGCCAGUGAUGGAAUUCUAUUGGGCAUUCCUUCUGCCCUUCUCCAACAUCACUCACUUCCCAGCUCAAAUACUAAAGUCUGUUAGACGACUUCUGGAAUAUUCUGUUCAAAAUAAGGAAGCAGUCAACAAUGAUGGAUUCUUGCAGAAGCAUAGAACAAAAGCUAAAAGCAGUUUUCUAUCAGAAUUUUCUCUUGGGAUCUGCAUUUGAGAGAAGUGGUUUUCCAAAGGAGUAAAAAGUGUAGCGACUGCUAUUUUGGUGUGGAAGUUUGUUUUGCAAAAUGAAAUAAAACAAAAGCUUCAUAACACACCACUUGGAGAAGAAAACCUCAGAAAGCAUUCCUUGAUGGGGUCUCCCUCAUGCACCGAUGGAGACAAUUCAAUAUCAGCUCCCUUGGAAACACUGCUUGCCUUUUCUUCUGAUGACUACACUGGAAGAGAUACUGACAAAGACAGCUUUCCUAAUCACUAUGUAAUGAAUAUCCAUCCACUAUCACAUCCGCACUUAUGAUUCUAGAACAAAUGAAUUCCCACCUGUCAUGGAUUAUAAGAUAUUUCUGCAUCUGUUCAACAGUGUAAUAUUAUUAAUAGUGCAGUAAAAAGAGGACAGCAUCUGUGGAUCUGCUAUCUUUGUUCCUUUGCUAAUCUUCUAUAUUUUGCUGUUUGGUCUCAAGAUGCUGGAAUAAAUGUGUUCUUUGGAUGCAAGAA
rnacentral:lncRNA from 1 species